rnacentral:rRNA from 1 species
AACUAACGCUGGCGGCGUGCCUAACACAUGCAAGUCGUACGAGAAAGUUGGCUUCGGCCGAUGAGUACAGUGGCGCACGGGUGAGUAACGCGUGGAUAAUCUGCCCUUAAGUGUGGAAUAACGUACCGAAAGGUGCGCUAAUACCGCAUAAUGCCUGGCAACAUAAGUUGUCCGGCCAAAGAAGGCCUCUGCUUGCAAGCUUUCGCUAAAGGAUGAGUCCGCGUACCAUUAGCUAGUUGGUGGGGUAACGGCCUACCAAGGCGACGAUGGUUAGCUGGUCUGAGAGGAUGAUCAGCCACACUGGAACUGAGACACGGUCCAGACUCCUACGGGAGGCAGCAGUGAGGAAUAUUGCGCAAUGGGGGCAACCCUGACGCAGCAACGCCGCGUGAGUGAGGAAGGUUUUCGGACUGUAAAGCUCUGUCGAGCGGGAAGAAGUGUACCAUGGCUAAUAUCCAUGAUAUUUGACGGUACCGCUAGAGG